CCUACGGGUGGCAGCAGUGGGGAAUAUUGCACAAUGGGGGAAACCCUGAUGCAGCGACGCCGCGUGAGUGAAGAAGUAAUUCGUUAUGUACAGCUCUAUCAGCAGGGAAGAAACAGACGGUACCUGAGUAAGAAGCCCCGGCUAACUACGUGCCAGCAGCCGCGGUAAUACGUAGGGGGCAAGCGUUAUCCGGAUUUACUGGGUGUAAAGGGAGCGUAGACGGCGAAGAAAGUCUGAAGUGAAAGCCCGCGGCUUAACCGCGGAACUGCUUUGGAAACUUUUUUGCUGGAGUACCGGAGAGGUAAGCGGAAUUCCUAGUGUAGCGGUGAAAUGCGUAGAUAUUAGGAGGAACACCAGUGGCGAAGGCGGGUUCCUGGACAUUAACUGACGCUGAGGCACGAAGGCCAGGGGAGCGAAAGGGAUUAGAUACCCGGGUAGUC
rnacentral:rRNA from 1 species